UACGGUUGCAAAGCUGAAACUUAAAGGAAUUGACGGAAGGGCACCACCAGGAGUGGAGCCUGUGGCUUAAUUUGACUCAACACGGGAAACCUCACCCGGUCCGGACACUGGAAGGAUUGACAGACUAAAGCUCUUUCUUGAUUCAGUGGGUGGUGGUGCAUGGCCGUUCUUAGUUGGUGGAGUGAUUUGUCUGGUUAAUUCCGAUAACGAACGAGACUCUCGCCUGCUAAAUAGUUUUCCAUACGUUACUUUAUGGAACCUAAAACUUCUUAGAGGUACAAGUGGCGUUUAGCCACACGAAACAGAGCAAUAACAGGUCUGUGAUGCCCUUAGAUGUCCGGGGCCGCACAUGUGCUACAAUGAAUGCAUCAACGUGUAUCAGCCUCGCCCGAAAGGGUUGGGGAAUCCGCUGAACGGCAUUCUCAGUAGGGAUUGGGGAUUGCAAUUAUUUCCCAUGAACACGGAAUUCCCAGUAGGCGCCAGUCAUCAGCUGGCGUCGAUUGAGUCCCUGCCCUUUGUACACACCGCCCGUCGCUACUACCGAUCGCUCUUGUUAAUGAGCUUGUCGGAUUGGACCCGGUGAGCAGUCGUUGCGCUUCAUCUCCUCGCGGGGUGGGCCUUCGUCUGCGAGCUUUUGGUGUAUGCCGAGAAGAUCGGCAAAUUAUCUGGAGUAGAGGAAGUAAAAGUCGUAACAAGGUAUCCGUAGGUGAACCUGCGGAUGNNNNNNNNNNAUAGAYACGAUAGGUGGAUGUCCGCGAGGGUUGCUUCUCGGUAGAAAGAUACAUACAAAAAGUAAAAGAGAAGCCGCCGAGUGGCGAGUUGUUGAAAGUAGCCCAGCGAAACAACGGAACAAACCCUUCGGAAUAAGAAAGAAAAAAGACGUGCUGUACGAAAAAAGUGCAACG
rnacentral:rRNA from 1 species